CGCAAAGUCAUUUCGUUCUCUUUGGCAGGUAGCUCUCGUGUGACAAAGUCGAACACCUCCUUCCAGUCACGGACAUUCUUGGUGUGCUCGGUGUCGUAGUAGCCAAGGGGAUUAACUUCAUCCCGGCGGAUGAGGCGUUUCUCAUCGGUCGGCAGGGCAAAGAAGCGUUUGGCGGCAGAGUGGACGUGGUCGAGGAGGUGGGAGGGUACACCGUGGUUGAUGACUUGAAAGAAGCCCCAGUCCCUGCAGGCGGCUUCGACUUCGG
rnacentral:misc_RNA from 1 species